AAAGCCUCGGACUGCCAAUAACAUCUCCAAGGAAGACGCUCAAAAGGUAAUUCUCUUUCAUCGGAUUUGGCGACGAUUUAUAUUCUCUGAAAUUACAAACGUACAGGACAAUACAAAGAAAAAAGAAAAGAAAGAAAACGAAGGACGAAUACUGUAAGAUCUCUCGUAACAUUUAUAUCGUGUUUUUGUCGAUGGAAGAAUGUACCGAUUCGAGAUAAUCUCAAAGGACAAAAUCCCUUCUUUCGAGGAUCUCUGGAGAAGACGCAAAAAGGAAGAACAAGAAGAAGAAGGUGAAUGUUAGAUCCUUCGUCCAUGGACCGUUAAGUUCGUCUAGACGCCAGUUCCUGCCAGUACCAAUCUCCGAUUUAUCUCUUUUCUCUUUCUUUCUUUCUCUUUAUUUCUCUUUAUUUCUUUCUUUCUCUGUCUACUUCAUCUUCGUGAGUGCGUGCGAGGAAGCAUUCGCAGGUGACAGGACAGAUUAUAGGAUGUUUCGAGCGUGUACCAAGAAGACGAGAACGACGCGUGCUACAUAUUUUCAGCUUCGAGGCAUUUUCGAAUAGUAGAUAACGUGACAGCUCUUCGAGAGAAUCUACGUAUUAUACGUGCG